rnacentral:rRNA from 1 species
AAAAGAAACCAACAGGGAUUGCCCCAGUAACGGCGAGUGAAGCGGCAAGAGCUCAAAUUUGAAAUCUGGCCUCCCCCGGGGGCCCGAGUUGUAAUUUGCAGAGGAUGCUUCGGGUGCGGCCGCCGUCUAAGUUCCUUGGAACAGGACGUCAGAGAGGGUGAGAAUCCCGUCUUGGGCGGGCGGUCCGCGCCCGUGUGAAGCUCCUUCGACGAGUCGAGUUGUUUGGGAAUGCAGCUCUAAGCGGGUGGUAAAUUUCAUCUAAAGCUAAAUAUUGGCCGGAGACCGAUAGCGCACAAGUAGAGUGAUCGAAAGGUUAAAAGCACCUUGAAAAGGGAGUUAAACAGCACGUGAAAUUGUUGAAAGGGAAGCGCUUGCGGCCAGACUCGGGGGCGGGGUUCAGCGGGUGCUCGUCGCCCGUGUAUUCCUCGUCUCCCGGGCCAGCAUCAGUUUCGACGGCCGGUCAAAGGCCCCCGGAAUGUGUCGUCUCUCGGGACGUCUUAUAGCCGGGGGUGCAAUGCGGCCCGUCGGGACUGAGGAACGCGCUCCGGCUCGGAUG